UAACGCGUGGGUAACCUGCCUCGUACAGGGGGAUAACAGUUAGAAAUGACUGCUAAUACCGCAUAAGACCACAGCACCGCAUGGUGCAGGGGUAAAAACUCCGGUGGUAUGAGAUGGACCCGCGUCUGAUUAGCUAGUUGGUAAGGUAACGGCUUACCAAGGCGACGAUCAGUAGCCGACCUGAGAGGGUGACCGGCCACAUUGGGACUGAGACACGGCCCAAACUCCUACGGGAGGCAGCAGUGGGGAAUAUUGCACAAUGGGGGAAACCCUGAUGCAGCGACGCCGCGUGAGCGAAGAAGUAUUUCGGUAUGUAAAGCUCUAUCAGCAGGGAAGAAAAUGACGGUACCUGACUAAGAAGCACCGGCUAAAUACGUGCCAGCAGCCGCGGUAAUACGUAUGGUGCAAGCGUUAUCCGGAUUUACUGGGUGUAAAGGGAGUGUAGACGGAUGGGCAAGUCUGAUGUGAAAACCCGGGGCUCAACCCCGGGACUGCAUUGGAAACUGUUCAUCUAGAGUGCUGGAGAGGUAAGUGGAAUUCCUAGUGUAGCGGUGAAAUGCGUAGAUAUUAGGAGGAACACCAGUGGCGAAGGCGGCUUACUGGACAGUAACUGACGUUGAGGCUCGAAAGCGUGGGGAGCAAACAGGAUUAGAUACCCUGGUAGCCCACGCCGUAAACGAUGACUACUAGGUGU
rnacentral:rRNA from 1 species